GGGGUAACGGCCCACCAAGGCGACGAUCAUUAGGGGUUCUGAGAGGAAGAUCCCCCACACUGGUACUGAGACACGGACCAGACUCCUACGGGAGGCAGCAGUGAGGAAUAUUGGUCAAUGGGCGAAAGCCUGAACCUGCCAUGUCGCGUGCAGGAAGACGGCCCUAUGGGUUGUAAACUGCUUUUGUAUGGGAAGAAACGACGGUACGAGUACUGUUUUGCCGGUACCAUACGAAUAAGGAUCGGCUAACUCCGUGCCAGCAGCCGCGGUAAUACGGAGGAUCCAAGCGUUAUCCGGAUUUAUUGGGUUUAAAGGGUGCGUAGGCGGGAGAUUAAGUCAGUGGUGAAAGUUUGCGGCUCAACCGUAAAAUUGCCAUUGAUACUGGUUUUCUUGAGUACAGUUGAGGUAGGCGGAAUGUGGUGUGUAGCGGUGAAAUGCUUAGAUAUACCACAGAACACCGAUUGCGAAGGCAGCUUACUAAGUUGUGACUGACGCUGAAGCACGAAAGCAUGGGGAUCAAACAGGAUUAGAUACCCUGGUAGUCCAUGCCGUAAACGAUGAUCACUAGCUGUUUGCGAUAUAUUGUAAGUGGCAAAGGGAAACCAUUAAGUGAUCCACCUGGGGAGUACGCCCGCAAGGGUGAACUCAAAGGAAUUGACGGGGCCCGCACAAGCGGAGGAACAUGUGGUUUAAUUCGAUGAUACGCGAGGAACCUUACCUGGAUUUAAAUGGGGAGUGACAGGGUAGAGAUACCUUCUUUCUUCGGACACUCUUCAGUGCUGCAUGAUGUCGUCAGCUCGUGCCGUGA
rnacentral:rRNA from 1 species